rnacentral:tRNA from 1 species
GGAGGAGUGGCCGAGUGGUCGAAGGCAGCGGUUUUGAAAACCGCCGUACUGCAAGGUACCGGGGGUUCGAAUCCCUCCUCCUCCG